ACGAGUAAGGGUCUUCCCGGCCCGAUCUCCCAACCCUUUGUCUACUUGACCAUCGUUGCUUCGGCGGGCCCGUCCUCACGGACCGCCGGAGGGCCCUCGCGCCCUCUGGCCCGCGCCCGUCGAUAGCCCUCCACAUUUAAAAUCUUAACUAAACGUGUCUUGAAUCUAAGUAUUAUUGUUAAAUAAAAAAC
rnacentral:misc_RNA from 1 species